GGUGAUCGACGGACGGACGAUGACAAAAAUGGAUCAAAAAAGUCAGCAAGGCCGAACAGUUCAGAUAGAAAUUUUUAUAAAGAUGAAAAAUUCGUGAGAGAUAAAAAUCAAGGAAAAAGUGAAGGAAAAGAUAGCAAAAAUAGAGAGACUAAAGCUAAACAAUUAAAACUUGAGAAGAAUGUGGAUCAUGAUGAAAUGAAUAAGAAUGAAGAGAGUGAAAGAAAAGAAAAAAAAAGUGGAGAAAGUAAAGCUAAACAGGCGAAUAUUGAAAGAAAUGGGGAGCAAGGUAAAAUAAAUAAUAAUGAAGAGAAGGAAGGGAAAUAUAGGGAAAAAAAACACUUAAAGCACAAAAAAGCAAAAUUGAUAAGAAUUUGGAUCAAGGUGAAAUAAAGAAGAAUGAAGAGAAGGAAGGAAGAGAAAAAAAGAAUGGAGAAAGUGAAGCUAAACAAUCCAAAUUUGAAAGGAAUGUGGAUCAAGAUAAAAUAAAUAAGAAUAAUGAGAAGGAAGGGAAAUACAGAAAAAAUAGAAUAUUUAAAGCAGAAAAAAAACCAAAUUGAAAAGAAUGUGGAUCAAGGUGAAAUAAAUAGGAAUGAAGAAGAAGAAAAAGAUAGAAAAAAUAGCACAAGUAAAAUAAGCCCAACCAAAAAUUAUAAUGUAGAUCCAGGUAAAAUAACUAAGAACGAAGAAGCUUUAAAAAUAUCUAAAAAAUCGGGAAAAAGAAGGGAAAAGCGGAUAGGCGAGUUAAAUCAGGAAAAUGGCAAUAAAAAAGAUGAACAGAAGGGCGGAAAAGAUAAUAAAAUAAAAAAAGAAAAAUUGAUAGUAAUGAUAAGGACAAAAACGGCCAAAGUUAUCAAGCUAUGUCAAAGAAGCAAAAUGCUGAAAUCUUUGUCCAAAAGGAUCUCGUCGACGACAUGAAAACUCAGAGUAGAGAGGGCAAGCCCAAAAGAAUUGCAUUAGGGCCCACUAGUAAAAAAAAUGCAAAGUCAAAAUUUAAUACGGGUUAUAGAAAAAGUAAUCAACUUUUUGAAAAGAAAGACAUAUUUUUUAAAAAACGCAUUACAAAAGGACAAAAUUCAAAAAUAUUAUCUAAUAGAAAAAGUAUAGUUCCAAAGGGAUAUUAUUCAUGCCGCGCGAGUUACAAUCGUGUCGAUAUGUACGACCCUGUGAUAUUCUUCGUGUAAAAUUGGAGGAGCGAGAUUUGUCUAGAUGUAUUGCCUGCUGUUUUCCGUUCCGACCAUAUGUAUCUUGCAGUUCCUACCAAUGUGGCUUACCUUGUGGGGAGUAGGAUAGCAAAACUUUAAUUCUUUCAAAAAAGUGUGCUCAAAAUUUUAGCUUGACUUACUUGGUAUUGGUACCCAAAUAAAAAAAACGAAACAAA